GCCCUGGUGGUCUAGUGGUUAGGAUUCGGUGCUCUCACUGCUGUGGCCCAGGUUCAUUUCCUGGUCAAGGAA
rnacentral:tRNA from 1 species